rnacentral:rRNA from 1 species
UAGUGGCGAACGGGUGAGUAACACGUGGGCAAUCUGCCCUGCACUCUGGGACAAGCCCUGGAAACGGGGUCUAAUACCGGAUAAUACUGUGCCCCUCAUGGGGGACGGUUAAAAGCUCCGGCGGUGCAGGAUGAGCCCGCGGCCUAUCAGCUUGUUGGUGGGGUAAUGGCCUACCAAGGCGACGACGGGUAGCCGGCCUGAGAGGGCGACCGGCCACACUGGGACUGAGACACGGCCCAGACUCCUACGGGAGGCAGCAGUGGGGAAUAUUGCACAAUGGGCGAAAGCCUGAUGCAGCGACGCCGCGUGAGGGAUGACGGCCUUCGGGUUGUAAACCUCUUUCAGCAGGGAAGAAGCGAAAGUGACGGUACCUGCAGAAGAAGCGCCGGCUAACUACGUGCCAGCAGCCGCGGUAAUACGUAGGGCGCAAGCGUUGUCCGGAAUUAUUGGGCGUAAAGAGCUCGUAGGCGGUUUG